UACAGAGGGUGCGAGCGUUAAUCGGAAUUACUGGGCGUAAAGCGCACGUAGGCGGCUUUGUAAGUUAGAGGUGAAAGCCCAGGGCUCAACCCUGGAAUUGCCUUUAAGACUGCAUCGCUUGAACAUCGGAGAGGUAAGUGGAAUUCCGAGUGUAGAGGUGAAAUUCGUAGAUAUUCGGGAGAACACCAGUGGCGAAGGCGACUUACUGGACGAUUGUUGACGCUGAGGUGCGAAAGCGUGGGGAGCAAACAGG
rnacentral:rRNA from 1 species